GGGUCCAGGGCUGGGGUGACGGAGAUGAACGCAGACGCAACGCGCAAUUAUGAGCGCCUCCUCCACCUCCUCUUCCACCUGUAACACCUGCUUGGAUCUACGAACAGGUGUGUAUGUAAGAUUUACACCUGGUGGUUCGUUACUUCUUGACGGGAACAGUAAUAUGGGCGGGCCUGACCCUGGCACUCGUGGUCAUCCCCUCCACGGUGGUGAUGGUGCUGUCCAUACGCUGGCACCUGGCUGACAAGGGCACUGUCCCCAAGACCUAUUGGGUGGCCCACAUCUGUCAGUCUGGCAUCAUGCACAGGUGAGGGGCUGUUAUUUACAUUAUCUACUAUUUAUUAUUACUGUUGGUCACAUUAUUACUAUCAUUAGUACAUUACAUAACAUCAGUACAGUAUUACUAUCAUUGCUAUUAUAUACAUUCAAUGAGGGAUUAGAUUACCUUUUAAUGGUGGCUAGAUUACCCUCAUAAAGAGAUGAUUGGGUUAUGUGAAGUUGCAUUAUGGGGUUGGGUUUCUUUAGUGAUCAGAGUUGCAUUAUAACGUAGCACAAGUGAUUAGUAUCAUUUUUUGUCUCACCCUAAAAUGGUAGAUUUAAUCCACAUUCAGCCAUCAGAUCUAACUGUAUUUUGUCUUCUUUCUUCUGUUGUGAUGACUGAAAGGAUUAAGGGCUUCUGUUGGUAGGAGUUGUGCCAAGUAGA